GCUGAGAUAGCCAAGGUGGUCAAGGCACUUGUCUGAAGAACAAGCUAUCCAGGUUCGACUCCUGGUCUCAGCA
rnacentral:tRNA from 1 species